CAGCCGCCGCGGUAAUACAGAGGACUUAAGCGUUAUCCGGAAUUAUUGGGCGUAAAGGGCUCGCAGGCGGUUUCUUAAGUCUGAUGUGAAAGCCCCCGGCUCAACCGGGGAGGGUCAUUGGAAACUGGGAAACUUGAGUGCAGAAGAGGAGAGUGGAAUUCCACGUGUAGCGGUGAAAUGCGUAGAGAUGUGGAGGAACACCAGUGGCGAAGGCGACCCUCUGGUCUGUAACUGACGCUGAGGAGCGAAAGCGUGGGGAGCGAACAGGAUUAGAUACCCCAGUAGUCCCUGUCUCUUAUAA
rnacentral:rRNA from 1 species